rnacentral:tRNA from 1 species
GGUGGCUCAGUGGUAGAGUGCUUGCCUUGCACGCAUGAGGCCCUGGGUUCAAUUCCUUGCACCA